UCUUGCGCAAUGGGCGAAAGCCUGACGCAGCCAUGCCGCGUGAAUGAUGAAGGUCUUAGGAUUGUAAAAUUCUUUCACCGGGGAAGAUAAUGACGGUACCCGGAGAAGAAGCCCCGGCUAACUUCGUGCCAGCAGCCGCGGUAAUACGAAGGGGGCUAGCGUUGCUCGGAAUUACUGGGCGUAAAGGGCGCGUAGGCGGAUAGUUUAGUCAGAGGUGAAAGCCCAGGGCUCAACCUUGGAACUGCCUUUGAUACUGGCUAUCUUGAGUUCGGGAGAGGUGAGUGGAAUGCCGAGUGUAGAGGUGAAAUUCGUAGAUAUUCGGCGGAACACCAGUGGCGAAGGCGACUCACUGGCCCGAUACUGACGCUGAGCGCGAA
rnacentral:rRNA from 1 species